CACAAGAUACUGGUAUUACCU
rnacentral:miRNA from 1 species